GGCAAUGUGGUGUUCAGGUCAAUCCGCGGAGGCACUGCUCCACCCUAAGUCCAAAUAUGAGUACGGUUGUACGGACAUGGCCCAUUGAGGGUGAAAGGCCCGUGGGGGUGGAGAUCAGGUUGGCCAGUGUCACUCUGGGGAGACCUUGGAGUCGGGUUGUUUGUGAAUGCAGCCCAAAGUGGGUGGUAAACUCCAUCCAAGGCUAAAUACAAGCACGAGUCCGAUAGCGAACAAGUACCGUGAGGGAAAGUUGAAAAGUACUCUGAAGAGAGAGUAAACAGUGCGUGAAGCCGUUCAGAGGUAAACGGGUGGAGUUGAACUGUGAGUUCCGAGGGUUCAGCUGGUAACUAUGGUUGAGCAUGGUUAAAUUGGUUGGACUCUGAGGUCUGCGUAGCUGCAGGUUCUCACCGCUGGUGGGGAUGUGCGAUACACUUUUUAGUGUUGUGCGCCUCAGAUGUUCCGAGCCUGGUUGCCAGUGCACUCCUUCGGGACGGUCACCACGACCGGCACUGCCGUUGGUCUGUUGUUGACAAAUCGGGCGCGUUAGGUUGUUGUGAUCUUUCGCGUCCGGGAUGGCAGGUAGCUCGUUGGCUUGCUUGCAGGCUUUCGGGUGAAAUAACUGUCUUCAAUUUGACUAUGCGGUGUGCCGGAGACGGCGGCUUGAGGUGUGUGCGUGCGUGCUGUUUUCUGACGUGUCCGUGUCAGGUUGCUCAGUUGCUCACAUAGUGGGCCAAGCGGCGACUGGGAUAUGUUUGGGAGGCAGUUGCGUGCGUGACAUCGUACUUGGGCCAAUAGUCUGUGGUGUUGCGGUAGACGAUCCACCUGACCCGUCUUGAAACACGGACCAAGGAGAUUAACAUGUGCGCGAGUCAUUGGGCGUAACGAAACCCACAGGCGCAGUGAAAGUAAAGGCUUGGCUUGUCCAGGCUUAGG
rnacentral:rRNA from 1 species